GACGAACGCUGGCGGCGUGCUUAACACAUGCAAGUCGAACGGAAAGGCCCUGCUUUUGUGGGGUGCUCGAGUGGCGAACGGGUGAGUAACACGUGAGUAACCUGCCCUUGACUUUGGGAUAACUUCAGGAAACUGGGGCUAAUACCGGAUAGGAGAUCCUGCUGCAUGGUGGGGGUUGGAAAGUUUCGGCGGUUGGGGAUGGACUCGCGGCUUAUCCGCUUGUUGGUGGGGUAGGGGCUUACCAAGGCUUUGACGGGUAGCCGGCCUGAGCGGGUGACCGGCCACAUUGGGACUGAGAUACGGCCCAGACUCCUACGGGAGGCAGCAGGGGGGAAUAUUGCACAAUGGGCGGAAGCCUGAUGCAGCAACGCCGCGUGCGGGAUGCCGGCCUUCGGGUUGUAAACCGCUUUCGCCUGUGACGAAGCGUGAGUGACGGUAAUGGGUAAAGAAGCACCGGCUAACUACGUG
rnacentral:rRNA from 1 species